GGAAAGUAAACUGUUUUCUCUUUCCUGUUUUGCCACGGAGCUUUCUUCUUUUCAUUCAAACCCACACCACUUCACUUCACCUGCUUUCCUCACCUGGGUUGCAAUCCAUGAAUCAGAAGAUUGAUCGACGGUGGUAAGAUGUUUACGCACCACCACUAGGGUUGUGUUCAGUACGAUCUUUAGCCUUUCUUCGUAAGAUCCUGAGAACGUGGGAAGAGCUCAAAGCCGAGGAGAGCCAUGUGUCCCGCUGAUAGAAUGCUCUUGCCACGCCUUUCACACACUCGCUUGAGUCAGACUCAACCUCUUGGCGGUCUCUGUUUCUUCUUUAGGUAUGUGUUGUAAUUCCUCUUAUAGAAUCUCAUGUCGGCAGUUUUCUCACCUUCUAGAUACUUCCAAUCCAUUAAAGGUAUUAUUUUGUUACUUCACACUAUAUUUCAUUUGGCACGCCAGAUGUUCGAUCUAAUGUUCGAUUAAUAUCAAUUUUAAACUUGAAGAGUGUUGUUGCUGGAAAAAAAAUUAUGAUGACGCUUUGACGAGAAACACAUCUGAUGCUACUGGUCUGGUCAUGUAUCUAUCAUUCUUAUAUGCAGAGCACAAUUCAUGCAGGGAAGUGCAUGUUAGGGUGGCGCUACGGUGGUUCAGCUAGCUAUGUGUAUUAGUGAGGUUGUUGAACAUCAGGUUAGUUGCAGCAGAAAACUCGGCUGUUGAACAUGAGGUUAGUUGCAGUAGAGAAGUCGGUUCUUUUUAUUCCCUUUUAUAACUUACAAACAUCGAAGUGUUCCUUCUUUCUGAUAUGAUAAAUCAGGGAAGAAUACAUAGAUUCAUGGACAGAUCUAAACGAAAGGCUUUGUUAAAUGAGAGCCAUGAUGAUUGUUUAGAAGUUGUGAAUAAUGACCCUUUAUUGUUUCAACUUUGUAUUUAUUUUUUUUUCUGUAGUAGAUUGAUUUAUACAUAUGGGUUGUCAUUCAACCAUAGAUUGAAGAUUGAAGUAUGUAGAGGCUUCAUUCGGUCAUGAAUGGAAGGAAGUAGGUAUUUUGUUUUUUUUCAUUUUUAUAUCAAAGGUUUUUUUAAAUCGAUUUUACCGCUUCCUCAGUUCGUCUCUACAGUGAAGUCAACUGGCCUAUAACAACAAAAAUGUCAACCCAAUUUGUCAACAUUAUCUUCACUAAUAUCGGAAGGAUCAGCGUAAAGUUUUUUUUCUUUUCUCUACUCAAUUUUCAAUUGGGGACUAAUAUUUUGCUGCUUUGGUUCUUAAUUUUAGGGAUGGUAAGUUUGAUUAAAUGUUUACUGGUUUUCCCAGCAGGUGAAAAAACUCUCCAGCACCAUCACUAAGAAGCAAUACAAUCUAAACAAAAAAAACUCAUUCUUAUUUUACACUUAUUAGCCCAAAAACAAAAAAAAUAAAAAAUAAAGAAAAAAGGAAAAAAAAACCUUAUAUGCGUCGAACUGUUUUUGAACCGGCUUUUUCUGAAGUAAAACCGAACCGGUUUAUAUAAGUUCGGAUUUUUUUGGGGUUGGACCGCUUUGGAACCGAACCGGUUUUGACUUGAUAAUUAUAGACUGAAAAACUAUUCAUACCUUUUUGUUUCCAACGUUCUUAACAUCUUCAUUCUGUUCAUCAGCAUGAGAAUGAGGAAAACCAUAGAGUGGCUAAACGUUGGAUUGAACGUGAAAAAGGCAGCAUGUGGUUCAAUAUUCCUCUAUGUAUCUAAUAUAUUCAGCCUAGAGCUAUCAUAGCAACUACAAGGUGCAACAGAGAAUUCCCUAAAGAUAACUAUGCCACUGAAGAAAUUUGUUUCAAAAUUAAGGAUUACAAGUGUCGAUGAGAGGAUAGUCAAAAUGGGCAGAUGGUUAAAGAGUUUGAAAGGGAGGGGCAUAACUGGAAAGUUGUGGCUUAAGUUCAAGAUAAGCAAAAAUUCAAGAGUUGGUGUACAUUAAAGUCAAAAUGGUGAAGUCUCAACUUUCACAUCUUAAAUUUAUUUAUUUAUUUUAUAAAUGAUCUACUUUCUUGCAUAUGCCAAGAUAACUGCUGAAUGUGAUGACAAAGUUCAAAUUGUUGGAGAUGAUCUUUUGGCCACUAACCCAACGGUCAUCUCUAAAAAAAAGUAAGAGAAGCACAAUAUCUGGUGAAGGUAUACUUGGUGAAUUUGAGACUUAAAGGAGUUGAGAUAGAUGUAGUUAUUACUGCAUACGAGCCUGUCUUCAUAAAUUAUAUCUUCUUCUUUAGAAUUGAAACAUGAUGUGAGCCAGGAAAUGGAACGGAAUGGAGUUCAAUCUCAUUCCUUUGCUAUGAUUGAGCCAAUGAACAAACAUCAAAGAAGAAGAAAAAGAAGAAAGUUAACAUGCCAAAUGCAGUAGAAAUACAGUGGAGGCCAUCUCAGGACUUUGCAGCUGAAAACUAUAUGAUGCCGCCAGGUCCUUCCCCUUACAAUCCUUACUAGAAUGGGAUGCAGCCUGGAAUGGAUGCAUUUAUGGGGCCAUAUGGUGGCAGCAUGCUGCCAUACAUGGGUGGUGGUUAUGGAUUUGGGCCAAUGGAUGUCCCCUUUGGAGGCAUGUUUCCCCAAGACCAUUUUGGUGCAUCAGGCCUUAUGAUGCCUCCUCGUUAUAUAUAUAUAUAUAUAUAUAUAUAUAUAUAUAUAUAUAUAUAUAUAUAUAUAUAUAUAUAUAUAUAUAUAUAUAUAUAUAUAUAUAUAUAUAUAUAUAUAUAUAUAUAUAUAUAUAUAUAUAUAUAUAUUAGUUUCUCUUAAUAAGCCCAUAUAUUCAUAACUAAUAUCAGAUUCAAAAUUAUUCUGUUUUUUUGUUUGAUGGAUUUCAUUAUUUCCAUGGCAAAUUCUGAUUCCUUUAAAUACGCAUUUAAUCCCCAAAAGAUAUAAAAUUGAUAUUGGAUAAUUUUUAACUUCAAAA